UCCACGGCAGUCGGUCUUCGUCCGAGCUUCUACAAUAAGAAGUCUCCAUCUGAACUUCCACGACAACUGAUCUUCGUCCGAACUUCUACAACAAAAUUGAAUCUCGGACUCCUCCAACGUUCGACCUUCCAUUGUGUCCUCAAGACUCCUCUAGCGGACGAACCUCCACAACGCCAUCCGAACUCCACUGUCGGUCAACCCUCUGUCAGAUUCUUCAUGAAACCGGACCUCUUCGGUGGACAAUCUUCAGACGAACUUCCACAUCAGGUAAAUUUCAGACAGACUCCUCUAGCGAUCGGACUCUUAUCGAACUUCUCCAACAGAAAAUCCCUGUCCGAACUUCUACAGCAGACGACUUCUGCCUGCAGCAUCAGUGCCCAAGGCACCCGACGACAGUGGACCCGUCAGCAACCUC
rnacentral:lncRNA from 1 species